rnacentral:rRNA from 1 species
AUUGAACGCUGGCGGCAGGCCUAACACAUGCAAGUCGAGCGGAGCGGCGGACGGGUGAGUAAUGCCUAGGAAUCUGCCUGGUAGUGGGGGAUAACGUCUGGAAACGGGCGCUAAUACCGCAUACUAUCAGAUGAGCCUAGGUCGGAUUAGCUAGGUGGUGGGGUAAAGGCCUACCAAGGCGACGAUCCGUAACUGGUCUGAGAGGAUGAUCAGUCACACUGUAACUGAGACACGGUCAAGACGCCUACGGGAGGCAGCAGUGGGGAAUAUUGGACAAUGGGCGAAAGCCUGAGCCGGCCAGGCCGCGGGUGUGAAGAAGGCCUUCGGGUUGUAAGGCACUUUCAGCGGGGAGGCGUUACCCGCAGAGGAAGCACCGGCUAACUCCGUGCCAGCAGCCGCGGUAAUUC